rnacentral:rRNA from 1 species
GAUGAACGCUGGCGGCGUGCCUAAUACAUGCAAGUCGAGCGAACAGACGAGGAUCUUGCUCCUCUGACGUUAGCGGCGGACGGGUGAGUAACACGUGGAUAACCUACCUAUAAUACUGGGAUAACUUCGGGAAACCGGAUCUAAUACCGGAUAAUAUAUUGAACCGCAUGGUUCAAUAGUGAAAGACGGUUUUGCUGUCACUUAUAGAUGGAUCCGCGCCUCAUUAGCUAGUUGGUAAGGUAACGGCUUACCAAGGCAACGAUGCGUAGCCGACCUGAGAGGGUGAUCGGCCACACUGGAACUGAGACACGGUCCAGACUCCUACGGGAGGCAGCAGUAGGGAAUCUUCCGCAAUGGGCGAAAGCCUGACGGAGCAACGCCGCGUGAGUGAUGAAGGUCUUCGGAUCGUAAAACUCUGUUAUUAGUGAAGAACAAAUGUGUAAGUAACUAUGCACGUCUUGACGGUACCUAAUCAGAAAGCCACGGCUAACUACGUG